rnacentral:rRNA from 1 species
AACGAACGCUGGCGGCAGGCCUAACACAUGCAAGUCGAGCGCCCUUUCGGGGGCGCGGCGGGCGGGUGAGUAACGCGUGGGAAUAUGCCCUUCUCUACGGAAUAGCCUCGGGACACUGAGAGUAAUACCGUAUACGCCCUGUAGUGGUAAGGUUUAUCGGGGAAGGAUUAGCCCGCGUUGGAUUAGGUAGUUGGUGGGGUAAUGGCCUACCAAGCCGACGAUCCAUAGCUGGUUUGAGAGGAUGAUCAGCCACACUGGGAAUGAGACACGGCCCAGACUCCUACGGGAGGCAGCAGUGGGGAAUCUUAGACAAUGGGGGCAACCCUGAUGUAGCCAUGCCGGGUGAGUGAUGAAGGCCUUAGGGUUGUAAAGCUCUUUCAGCUGGGAAGAUAAUGACGGUACCAGCAGAAGAAGCCCCGGCUAACUACGUG